CAGGGGGAAGCCGUUCCAUUUGAACCGGGACACAGCCCACUUCCCGACGAUUGUCUCUAACUCCACCACCUGUUUCUCUUUCUAGGUUUCGACGGCCGCCGACCGACGAACCUACGCCGGCGUAAUGGAUACCAUGGGGGACUUGACGGCAGCUCUCGACGCUUCUCCCACCUCCGAUCCGACUUCAAAGAGUUCUAUGGCCAACGACGCCUCCCGAAUGGCCGAGGUGAAGGCGUGGUUGCUUUGCCAGUUCGAGGCAGCGGGGAGAAACGUUCCGGCCUUCGAGUUCACGCCUCGCGUCGUCGCUCACCUACACUCCAUGGCCUCUCUCUCCCAGGUGCGGUCCCGCGCCGCAUCCAUCGUGGCGGACGAUCUCCGCCUCAAGGCCUCCGAGUACCGCGCUGAGGCUGUCCGGAUCCGCGAGAUCCUCGAACGCGUAGGCCUCUCGCGGGAGCAGCUCUCUCCUGGAGCUAUUGGAUCUGCUCAAAUCGUCGCUGGUGUCGCUAACCUGCUAAACAUCCGGGACACGGAGAUGAGUAGUUUCCUUGUGGCUAUGGGCGACCUCUCUUUGAGGAAAGCGGAUGUGGAGGAGAGGAGAGCAAAGGUGCAGAAGGAGUCCAAGGUUCUUCUUGAGUACACUAGGAAAGCCAUUGCAAAGCUCAAUGAUCUUAAGAAAACACUUGCUAAGUUUGAAAAUGAAGUAGGAAUGCAUGAAGCUCAGAUGCUACAAUGGCAGACAAAUUUAGCCAUUUUGGAUUCAAAGGAGCGUCAAUAUAUGCUUCAACUCAAUAACUACAAGGCAAUACUAAACCGGGUUGGAUAUACUUCAGAUAUCAACCAUGGUGUUUUGAUGGAAAUGGCUGAGCAUAAGAAAGAUUUAGAGAAGAAAACGAAACCCAUUUUGGAUACCUUGAGAAGUUACCAAGAUUUACCACCUGAUAAAGCUCUUGCUGCAUUAGCCAUUGAGGAUAAGAAACGACAAUAUGCUGCUGCAGAGAAAUAUUUAGAAGAAGUGCUGCAAUCUGCUCUAACGACAUCAGAAAUAUGACAUGCGGUCGAGGUGACAGUGAAAUCGUGACUGAGCUGGUCGAGCGGUCACCUGGCCACGAUUUCAGGGGCAGCUCGACCACGAUUUUGCCGCGAGGCCUGUCCACUGGUUGGACAGAGGGUGCAGGAAGGCGGAUGACAGAGGGAAAGAAUAUUUUGGGAAAUACCAUGAGAUUUGGUAAUGUAAAAAAUAAGAUUCAUGGAUCAAAUCCGUAUCUUUAUGCCAAUGCCCGUUCGAUGGUUUUAGCACCAAAUGCAGGUGAAGCAUUCAUGGAGCAGUCAUAGUUCAACUGGCCACGUAAGAAGCAACCUGGAGACUGAAAAUAUAUGUUUAUCCCUUUUGUUUGUUUCAGACUCAUACUUUUGUGCUUGUAACUAUACUUCUUCCUGUUGUUUAAAUUUAUUUUUUUGCCCUUUUUUCCCCCUUUAUUAUGGUUCGAUUUAAAUGCCCAGGGAAAACGUCUUUGGUACA